CCUGCUACCAUGGAGGAAGAGGUUUGCGCAUUGAGCCACAAACAGACUGUGAAACUGCCAGGAGAAGACCACCUCAUGUUGUUUAGGUGGUAAAGAUCACGCUGAUCUGUACGUCACCAUCACAGCGUUUAAAGACAUGGAUGGAGAUUCACUGGCCAAACAGCCUGUGGCUGGCUGCAUAUUUAAGGUUACGGGUGUGGGAGUGACAGACGUUCCAUCAUUCUCGUGUACUGGAUCAAAACCAAGAAGACAGCGAUGAUGCUAAUUAAACCGUCCCAAUUUUUUCCUGCCGAAACAACAUUGAUUAUUUUACCACCGUUGUAACUGUGCAACCGUCGCUUUAAUGCACGCUUAGGAUGGAUGAAAAUCUUUUGUUUCGUGGUAUUAGACAAAGGAAAAUAUGUGCCUUAAACUGAUUUAAUAGACCUUAUCAGCGGA